GACAGAGGCCUCGAGCGUUAGGCGGAAUCACUGGGCUUAAAGCGUGUGUAGGCGGACGCCUAAGCGUCUUGUGAAAUCCCACGGCUCACCCGUGGAACCGCUGGGCAUACUGGGCGUCUUGGGCCAUUCAGGGGCAACUGGAACAAGCGGUGGAGCGGUGAAAUGCGUAGAUAUCGCUUGGAACGCCAAAGGUGAAAACAGGUUGCUGGGAAUGCGCCGACGCUGAGAUGCGAAAGCGUGGGGAGCAAACAGG
rnacentral:rRNA from 1 species